rnacentral:rRNA from 1 species
ACCAGACUCCUACGGGAGGCAGCAGUGGGGAAUAUUUGUCAAUGGACGCAAGUCUGAACCAGCCAUGCCGCGUGCAGGAUGACGGCUCUAUGAGUUGUAAACUGCUUUUGUACGAGGGUAAACCCCGAUACGUGUAUCGGGUUGAAAGUAUCGUACGAAUAAGGAUCGGCUAACUCCGUGCCAGCAGCCGCGGUAAUACGGAGGAUCCGAGCGUUAUCCGGAUUUAUUGGGUUUAAAGGGUGCGUAGGCGGUUUGAUAAGUUAGAGGUGAAAUGUCGGGGCUCAACACAGAAACUGCCUCUAAUACUGUUGGAAUAGAGAAUAGUUGCGGUAGGCGGAAUGUAUGGUGUAGAGGUGAAAUGAUUAGAGAUCAUACAGAACACCGAUUGAGAAGGCAGAUUACAAAAAUAUAUCUGAAGUUGAGGAAAGAAAGAGUGGGUAGCAAACAGGAUUAGAUACCACUGUAA